rnacentral:ncRNA from 2 species
CUCUUCGGCACGGGGUGCCUUGUUUGAAUGAUUCAAUUCAGUCAGGGCUGAGAACACACCCGUAUACCUGAUCCAGAUCAUACUGGCGGAGGAAUGCCUGUCGCAGUUUGC